AAACUUUCAACAACCGAUCUCUUGGUUCUCGCAUCCAUGAAGAACGAACCGAAUUGCUAUAAGUAAUGUGAAUUGCAUAUUCACGCGAAUCAUUGAAUUUUUGAACGCACAUUGCGCCCUCCGGCAUUCCAGACGGAAUGCCUGUUUGAGCGACAUU
rnacentral:rRNA from 1 species